rnacentral:rRNA from 1 species
UACGAAGGGGGCUAGCGUUGCUCGGAAUCACUGGGCGUAAAGCGCACGUAGGCGGAUUGCUAAGUCAGGGGUGAAAUCCUGGAGCUCAACUCCAGAACUGCCUUUGAUACUGGCGACCUUGAGUCCGGGAGAGGUGAGUGGAACUGCGAGUGUAGAGGUGAAAUUCGUAGAUAUUCGCAAGAACACCAGUGGCGAAGGCGCUCACUGGCCCGGUACUGACGCUGAGGAACGAAAGCCAGGGGAGCGAACGGGG